rnacentral:lncRNA from 1 species
AUCUUUUGGAAAAUAAGAUGUUGAUGGGAGUCCAUCUACCAAACAGGAAGCAGGCUGUUAGAUCUUUUGUUAGAAUUGAUGAUGUUCUCAAAGAGCUUUUAGGUUUAAUUUAGAAACCUUGAUUGGGAAGUAUCUUCAAUGGCAGACUUAGGAAACAAAAUCCAGUAUUCUCCAGAAAACCUUUAAAUAAUUACUCCGAGGAAGAACUGCUGAAUUCAAAAUAGUUUUUCUCUUUUAAUUUUAUGUAUUUUACCUUGUAAGAAUAACAUGCGUAAAGAAAAAAUCUCGAGUAGAGACAUGGGGGGAAAUGCCCCUUCUAUCAGAGCCUCUCAUAACAUUUUAGUCUAUUUCCUCUGCUAUAGGAUUUUUUAAAAUACGUGUGAGUCUUUUAUUUUAAAUGAACAGGUAUUAAAUGGGUACAAAGAAGAGAAACCAAGAUUACCCAUGCAAACACCAAGAUUAAGACUUUAGUACAUUUCUUUCUAGUCUUUUACUCUGUAUAGAUUCCUUCUGGCACUAGUGAAUUUUAAAUCCAGUUCCACUAUACUGUACAACCAAACCAAAAGUUAACGUAUGGGAAGAAAAAAAUCACAGUAACACAACCAGUCCGGCUGGAUCAUUGGUAAUUAAUUGUAUGUUGUCUCUGAUAUCCUCCCAGCUACAUCCGAUACUCCCAGAUUUGUGCAAAGGCAGUGAGAGAUGCGCUGAAGACAGAAUUCAAAGCAAAUGCCGAGAAGACUUCUGGCAGCACCGUAAAAAUUGUGAAAGUGAAGAAGGAGUAAUCUGUAAGUUACUGAUUUAUUAGAAGACCUGCAUCUUAAGUUCUUAGAGCACUUGAAACAAAAGUAAUUUUAGUUUUUCAAUUCUGCCCAUUUUUCGUCCAACCAGUACAUUUACGUGUUAGUUCUUGGGGUAGUAAUUUAAAGCACAGAGGUGAUACAAGCGCCGCGGCAUCAUAAAAGAAUCUCGUUUCAGGCCCUGACAAGCAGAAGUAAUUGGCACAUUGAUUUUCAGCUCAUUUAGCAAUGCUUAGGUAGAGAGCCAUCUUAUUUUAAUUAAACCUGUUUCAUUUGUCUGCACAACAUCAAAUAAUUUGGAGGAUAAACUCCCCGCUUUUGUAAUUGCCGUCAGAGUUAUGUAACAGUUCAGGGGCAUGACAAAUUACAGUGCUCUGCGUCUUUAUUUCCCCCACGUCUGCCAGUGUUCUCACAAAGGACUGCUUCCUGAACAUCAGGGCUGCAAGUACAGGCCAGGGUCCUGCUAAGUUAUCGAGCAGCAGAAUCCAAGACCCUGCAGUGAAAACUGCUUUUGCUAAAUGUAUUAUUCUUUCUGAGUGCUUGGUUCGUUUUACUUUUCCAGAGAUGUCGGUCAUGUAGAGUUACAUCCUGUGCAGUAAAAGACAGUUUCGUACACUUGAUAAGUUCUGACUCUUCGCUCCAAACUGCUAAAGUGACGUGAUCUCUCAACCUUUUUCUUGACGUUGUUAUUUCAAAGAUAAGCAAGGCAAAUAACCAGAGAGCUGUUUUUCAGACUUAAUUUUCUUGUUUUGCUUUAAAAAGGGCUUCAGACCUGCAGUAGCAGAGAAAUGUGAUAAAUAUUCAUCCUUUGGCAGCUUGUGGUUAUGAGCAAUUUUACUUAUUGGAACUGUCUCCUCUAAGCACUUUUCAUUUUCAUUUUGAAUUAGUAAAUAUUUUAUCAUGAGUCUGGAGAUGCGGUGUUUUAGCCCUUCUUCUAAGCCCUUCUUCUAGGGGCUCUUCUGUCUCCCCUCAUAAUUCUAAGUAAUGAGACCUGGUCUUAUGUUGGGUUGUUUUGUCUUAAAAGUGACCUGGCUGCCAAAGUCACUGAGCCUCUGCAGCGUGGCCAAGCCACGCUGUGCAUCGCGCUCCCUUGACCUUGUGGUGUCCUUGGGGUCAGAAAGUAGUAUCCAGAUCCAGUAGAACAAAACAGCUCUCCCGAGGUCCUGCAGGGGAUGACCCCAGCCCAUCAGCACAGGGGGCUUUUAGUGUCUUUUGAAAGGCCGAGUAGUUUCUUUAUUGCUAGGAGAGAACUUGGUUCUACUUAGAAGGGAAGUUCCUGUGCAGCUGAGGCAGUGCACGUGAACCAGCACUUUCUACAGCCAAGAGCCAAGGGUCAGCAUUAGCCACGUGAAGUGACGCCAGAGUUAUCUUAGGUCAUGACAAGGAAGUCACUGCCACGGUCGUGCCGGACAGUUAAAACACAAAGAACUCGCAACUGUUGCAUUUUCUUUUUUCCUCCCAGACCCGCCCAGAGCUUGAAAUGCUGCAUUUUCAAGGUGAAGAUGUGUGGGUAUAUGCUAUGGCCGACUGGAAACCACCUCCCUUCGUCAAAAAACAAAACAAAAAAAACCCUGUCUUGUUCUAGAUGGACGAUGCCAAUAAAUUGAAGUAUGGUCCACUCCUGCUGUUGGUGUUUGUUUUCCUUCAGGCUUUUUCUUCAGAGGGACUCUGCGUACCUGCAGCAUAUGACCUCACGAGCCAGAGUCUCUUAAGUUGGGGCAAGCAGCUGUGGUAUCUAGUGAGCUGAGGGAUGCCGGAACCAUGUUUUAAAUGUCUCGGGAUAGAAAGUUCUCUUUUUUGUGAUGUCACUUAACAAAAGGAGCCUCUUGGUGAGGCUUUCAC